rnacentral:rRNA from 1 species
GAUGAACGCUAGCUACAGGCUUAACACAUGCAAGUCGAGGGGCAGCAUAGAAGUUAGCUUGCUAACUUCGGAUGGCGACCGGCGGAUGGGUGAGUAACACGUAUCCAACCUGGCCUUUACAAUGGGAUAGGCUUUCGAAAGAAAGAUUAAUACUGUAUGUUCCGUGAUUUCCGCAUGGAGAUUCCGGCAAAGAUUUAUCGGUAAAGGAUGGGGAUGCGUUCCAUUAGGCAGUAGGCGGGGUAAUGGCCCACCUAACCGACGAUGGAUAGGGGUUCUGAGAGGAAGGUCCCCCACAUUGGAACUGAGACACGGUCCAAACUCCUACGGGAGGCAGCAGUGAGGAAUAUUGGUCAAUGGGCGGGAGCCUGAACCAGCCAAGUAGCGUGCAGGAAGACGGCCCUAUGGGUUGUAAACUGCUUUUGAAGGGGAAUAACAAGAUCUACGUGUAGAUCCUUGCAUGUACCUUUCGAAUAAGGAUCGGCUAACUCCGUGCCAGCCGCCGCCGUAACAC